CAGCAGCCGCGGUAAUACAGAGGGUGCGAGCGUUAAUCGGAUUUACUGGGCGUAAAGCGUGCGUAGGCGGCUAAUUGAGUCGGAUGUGAAAUCCCCGAGCUUAACUUAGGAAUUGCAUUCGAUACUGGGAAGCUAGAGUAUAAGAGAGGAUGGUAGAAUUCCAGGUGUAGCGGUGAAAUGCGUAGAGAUCUGGAGGAAUACCGAUGGCGAAGGCAGCCAUCUGGCCUAAUACUGACGCUGAGGUACGAAAGCAUGGGGAGCAAACAGGAUUAGAUACCCCUGUAGUCCCUGUCUCUUAUAC
rnacentral:rRNA from 1 species